rnacentral:rRNA from 1 species
CUCGCCUGCAUGAAGUCGGAAUUGCUAGUAAUCGCGGAUCAGCAUGCCGCGGUGAAUACGUUCUCGGGCCUUGCACACACCGCCCGUCACACCAUGGGAGUCGGUAACACCCGAAGUCUGUAGCCUGACGCAAGAGGGCGCAGCCGAAGGUAGAAUCAAUGAUUGGGGUGAAGUCGUAACAAGGUAUC